AUUAGAAGAUUCAGCGGGAAGAAUAUCGUGUCUAAAAUACGUUGGAAUCAGUAGGAAAAAUCGGAAUCGCGAAAUAAUCAUUUUCUCACGUUUUCAAUUUCCUAUAAAUAGGACUUCAAAAAAUGAAAAAAAUCAAAAAAAAAUCACACAACACACACACACGGCCGUGAACUUCUUGGAGGAAAGGAAGAGAUUUGAUUUUUUCCGGUUCUUGCCUGAUCGUCGCUCUGUUCGUUGCUACGCGUAGGCCUCAAGGCGAUGGUGAGCCUUCCGCUGAAGCUUAGCUGUUCGAGUCGGAGACCGUGAUCGUGGGCGGUCGAGUAGAGGUGGAUGAAGCAGUUGCUUCUCCCUUUUUGGUGGACUAUGUUUGAGUUUCUUUUUCCUUAUGAAAACUCUGUUGUUUAAACCUUAUUUCGCCACUGUUAAAGUGUGCGUACUUAUUUUGGAAACUUGUUCAUGAUGAUGUAAGACACUAUUAUUAUUAUGUCGGGAACGGGUUGUUGAAUAAAGUCUAUGUUAUAUAUUCAA